rnacentral:tRNA from 1 species
GCCAUCAUGGUGUAGUGGUCUGAGCAUUAGAUUAUGAUUCUGGAGACCAGGGUUCAAAUCCCCACUUGAUCAUG